rnacentral:pre_miRNA from 1 species
UCUUCAUUCUUCACACUAUCUAACCGGGGUCAGAGAGGCGAGAGAGUGUGCGAAAUGAAGAGA